UACGGGGGGGGCAAGCGUUGUUCGGAAUUACUGGGCGUAAAGGGCGCGUAGGCGGCCUCGCAAGUCCCGUGUGAAAUCCCUCGGCUCAACUGAGGAAUGGCACGGGAAACUGCGGGGCUUGAGUUCGGGAGAGGGAAGCGGAAUUCCGGGUGUAGCGGUGAAAUGCGUAGAUAUCCGGAGGAACACCGGUGGCGAAGGCGGCUUCCUGGACCGGUAUUGACGCUGAGGAGCGAAAGCGUGGGGAGCGAACAGG
rnacentral:rRNA from 1 species